rnacentral:rRNA from 1 species
AGAGUUUGAUCCUGGCUCAGAUUGAACGCUGGCGGCAUGCUUUACACAUGCAAGUCGAACGGCAGCACGGGCUUCGGCCUGGUGGCGAGUGGCGAACGGGUGAGUAAUAUAUCGGAACGUACCCAAGAGUGGGGGAUAACGUAGCGAAAGUUACGCUAAUACCGCAUACGAUCUAAGGAUGAAAGCAGGGGAUCGCAAGACCUUGUGCUCCUGGAGCGGCCGAUAUCUGAUUAGCUAGUUGGUGGGGUAAAGGCCCACCAAGGCAACGAUCAGUAGCUGGUCUGAGAGGACGACCAGCCACACUGGAACUGAGACACGGUCCAGACUCCUACGGGAGGCAGCAGUGGGGAAUUUUGGACAAUGGGCGCAAGCCUGAUCCAGCAAUGCCGCGUGAGUGAAGAAGGCCUUCGGGUUGUAAAGCUCUUUUGUCAGGGAAGAAAAGGUCACGGCUAAUAUCCGUGACUGCUGACGUACCG